rnacentral:misc_RNA from 1 species
GAUGAAGAACGCAGUGAAAUGCGAUACUUGGUGUGAAUUGCAGAAUCCCGUGAACCAUCGAGUCUUUGAACGCAAGUUGCGCCCGAAGCCACUAGGCCGAGGGCACGCCUGCCUGGGCGUCACACGCCGUUGCCCCCCCAUCUACUCCUUCGGGAUUGCGGGGGGGCGGAUGAUGGCCUCCCGUGCGCCUAGCCGCGCGGUUGGCAUAAAUACCAAGUCCUCGGCGACGCACGCCACGACAAUCGGUGGUUGCGAAACCUCGGUUGCCCGUCGUGUGCGUUCGUCGCGCAUCGAGGGCUCGAAAAAAUGCUCGGCUCCGGCUGGGCUUUCAACGCGACCCCAGGUCAGGCGGGGUUACCCGCUGAACUUAAGCAUAUCAAUAAGCGGAGGA